GUGCAGCAGUCGCGAUUACUGGCCAAUGCGCGAAAGCGUGAGCCGGCUAAUCUGAGUGGGUUCCCCCAUCGGGGAACCUUUUGCCAAGUGUACAAAGCUUGGCGAAUAAGGAGAGGGCAAGACUGGUGCCAGCCGCCGCGGUAAAACCAGCUCUUCGAAUCGUGGGCAUGAUUAUUUGGGCUUAAAGUGUGCGUAGCAGGACAGGAUAAGUCUCCUGUGAAAUGCCAGGUCUUAAGCCUGGGCGCGUGCGGGGAGAUACUAUCCCGUCUUGGGGACCCGGGAUAGGUAUGGAUGUACACAAUGGGGUAGGGGUGAAAA
rnacentral:rRNA from 1 species